rnacentral:tRNA from 3 species
GCUGGCGUAGCUCAAUGGUAGAGCAGCUGACUUGUAAUCAGCAGGUUGCGGGUUCAAGUCCCAUCGCCAGCUCCA